rnacentral:rRNA from 1 species
AACGCCGCGUGAGUGAGGAAGGUCUUCGGAUUGUAAAACUCUUUUAUUUGGGAAAAAUUGCUUAGUGGUUAAUACCCAUUAAGUUUGAUGGUACCAAAGGAAUAAGCACCGGCUAACUUCGUGCCAGCACCUGCGGUGACUGAGCGGGCUGGCAAGGCGCAUA